rnacentral:rRNA from 1 species
ACUCCUACGGGAGGCAGCAGUGGGGAAUAUUGCACAAUGGGGGAAACCCUGAUGUAGCCAUGCCGCGUGUGUGAAGAAGGCCUUCGGGUUGUAAAGCACUUUCAGUAGGGAGGAAGGUAGUGUAGUUAACACCUGCACUACUUUGACUUACCUACAGAAGAAGCACCGGCUAACUCCGUGCCAGCAGCCGCGGUAAUACGGAGGGUGCGAGCGUUAAUCGGAAUUACUGGGCGUAAAGCGCAUGCAGGCGGCCUGUUAAGUCAGAUGUGAAAGCCCGGGGCUUAACCUCGGAAUUGCAUUUGAAACUGGCAGGCUAGAGUCUUGUAGAGGGGGUAGAAUUUCAGGUGUAGCGGUGAAAUGCGUAGAGAUCUGAAGGAAUACCAGUGGCGAAGGCGGCCCCCUGGACAAAGACUGACGCUCAGAUGCGAAAGCGUGGGGAGC